AGAAGGUAGUGUAGUGGAAGCACUAAGAAUUUUGAGUUCUUAAGGGAGGGUUCGAGUCCCUUUUUUCUAA
rnacentral:tRNA from 1 species